AUAAUAUCGUUCCCUUGUAGCCAAUCUUUAACCACCGAACCCAGACAGGGAAAGCUAUUUCUUAUCCGCUUAAAGCGCCAGGAGGACGUAUCACCACGGGCAGUACCGGCCAACUUAAUGCCAACGCAUUACUGAGAAAAGGCGCAACUUCUGCUCUCUGCAGUGCACUUCCAAAAACUCUGUCAUCACGUCGCUGCAAGACUGACGGUUCGAAUCCUCGAGUUCGGCGAUUCGGCACCAUCUUGGACCACGGCUUUAGCCAUCUUGGGUUGUUGCGAUCGAGGAAUGGAAGUUAACGGUAUUCGGGAU
ensembl:lncRNA